rnacentral:tRNA from 1 species
GGGCUGGGGCUCAGUGGUGGAGCACUCGUCUAGCACGUGUGAGGCCCUGGGUUCAAUCCUCAGCACCACA